AAAAUAAGUGAUGAAAAUCACAAGAGGGAAUCUAAACCUUUGUAUCCAUACCAAGCUUCUCGAGUGGGGUAUAGAGGAAUCGAGGAAAAAAUUGUAAGUAUGGUUAAUUUGUAACCACAUUUUUUGUUAUGUUUUGUAUCCAUAUCUAAUUACAUUAUUAUUGGUUAUAUUUUGGUAGUUGGAACAAAACGAUACAUCUUUGAAUGCAUUGUCAUUAGACCUCGAUGUUAUAUGGGUGGAUGUUCGUAAGAACUGGGAUAUUGUCAUCGAUAAUAAAAAUGUUCAAGAAGUGGCAGACCAUGUUCUAUGUGCUUAUCAUUUAAACUUGAUUUCCAUACUUUAUUUAUCAAUGUGAUUAAUUAACAUUUUGUUUUUUAUUGAUGUGUCAGGUUGUCCUAAAAGAAAAGGAAAGAGAGAUACAGACCCUAGAUAGUCAGGAGAUACUUGAUAAGGCACUAGGAUUGCCAAAGUACUCUAGCCGUAUUCGGGGUACUAGAUUUGGGGUUAGCAAGCGACACUAUUUACCCC
rnacentral:lncRNA from 1 species